UACGUAGGGUGCGAGCGUUAAUCGGAAUUACUGGGCGUAAAGCGUGCGCAGGCGGUUCGUUAUGUCCGAUGUGAAAGCCCCGAGCUCAACUUGGGAAUGGCAUUGGAAACUGGCGGGCUGGAGUGUGGCGGAGGGGGGUGGAAUUCCACGUGUAGCAGUGAAAUGCGUAGAGAUGUGGAGGAACACCGAUGGCGAAGGCGGGACUCUGGGCCGAUACUGACGCUGAGACGCGAAAGCGUGGGGAGCGAACAGG
rnacentral:rRNA from 1 species